UACGGAGGAUCCGAGCGUUAUCCGGAUUUAUUGGGUUUAAAGGGUGCGCAGGCGGGAGAUUAAGUCGGCGGUGAAAUUUUGCAGCUCAACUGUAAAAGUGCCUUCGAAACUGGUUUCCUUGAGUGUAGAUGAAGUAGGCGGAAUUUGUGGUGUAGCGGUGAAAUGCAUAGAUAUCACGAGGAACUCCGAUUGCGCAGGCAGCUUACUAAACUACUACUGACGCUCAGGCACGAAGGCGUGGGGAUCAAACAGGAUUAGAUACCCCCGUAGU
rnacentral:rRNA from 1 species